UAGAACGCUGAAGCUUGGUGCUUGCACCGAGCGGAUGAGUUGCGAACGGGUGAGUAACGCGUAGGUAACCUGCCUGGUAGCGGGGGAUAACUAUUGGAAACGAUAGCUAAUACCGCAUAAGAGUAGAUGUUGCAUGACAUUUGCUUAAAAGGUGCAAUUGCAUCACUACCAGAUGGACCUGCGUUGUAUUAGCUAGUUGGUGAGGUAACGGCUCACCGAGGCAACGAUACAUAGCCGACCUGAGAGGGUGAUCGGCCACACUGGGACUGAGACACGGCCCAGACUCCUACGGGAGGCAGCAGUAGGGAAUCUUCGGCAAUGGGGGGAACCCUGACCGAGCAACGCCGCGUGAGUGAAGAAGGUUUUCGGAUCGUAAAGCUCUGUUGUAAGAGAAGAACGGGUGUGAGAGUGGAAAGUUCACACUGUGACGGUAUCUUACCAGAAAGGGACGGCUAACUACGUGCCAGCAGCCGCGGUAAUACGUAGGUCCCGAGCGUUGUCCGGAUUUAUUGGGCGUAAAGCGAGCGCAGGCGGUUAGAUAAGUCUGAAGUUAAAGGCUGUGGCUUAACCAUAGUACGCUUUGGAAACUGUUUAACUUGAGUGCAAGAGGGGAGAGUGGAAUUCCAUGUGUAGCGGUGAAAUGCGUAGAUAUAUGGAGGAACACCGGUGGCGAAAGCGGCUCUCUGGCUUGUAACUGACGCUGAGGCUCGAAAGCGUGGGGAGCAAACAGGAUU
rnacentral:rRNA from 1 species